CGGCAACAGCUCAAAUUUGAAAUCUGGCCUCUUUGGGGUCCGAGUUGUAAUUUGUAGAGGAUGUUUCGGGUACCGCCUCGGUUUAAAUUUCUUGGAACAGAAUGUCAAAGAGGGUGAGAAUCCCGUCCUUG
rnacentral:rRNA from 1 species